GAUGCGUUGAGCUAACCGGUACUAAUGAACCGUGAGGCUUAACCUUA
rnacentral:rRNA from 1 species